rnacentral:rRNA from 1 species
GACGAACGCUGGCGGCGUGCUUAACACAUGCAAGUCGAACGGAAAGGCCCUGCUUUUGUGGGGUGCUCGAGUGGCGAACGGAAGAGUAACACGUGAGUAACGUGACCUUGACUUUGGGAUAACUUCAGGGCACUGGGGCUAAUCCAGGAUAGGAGCUCCUGCGGCUUGGUGGGGGUUGGAAAGUGUCGGCGGUUGGGGAUGGACGCGCGGCGUAUCAGCUUGUUGGUGGGGUAGUGGCUUACCCAGGCUUUGACGGGUGGCCGGCCUGAGUGGGUGACCGGCCACAUCGGGACUGAGACGCGGCCCAGCCUCCUGCGGGAGUCAGCAGUGGGGGAUAUCGCGCUGUGGGCGGAAGCCGGAUGCAGCAACGCCGCGUGCGGGAUGACGGCCUUCGGGCUGUAAACCGCGUUCGCCUGGUACGAAGCGGGAGUGACGGUAAUUGGUAAAGAAGCACCGGCUAACUACGUG